GGGUCAAUGCUCGAGUGGUUAAUGAGGACGGAUUGUAAAUCCGUUGGCUAUGCCUACGCUGGUUCAAAUCCGGCUUGACCCA
rnacentral:tRNA from 1 species